rnacentral:rRNA from 1 species
GACGAACGCUGGCGGCGUGCCUAAUACAUGCAAGUAGAACGCACAGUUUAUACCGUAGCUUGCUACACCAUAGACUGUGAGUUGCGAACGGGUGAGUAACGCGUAGGUAACCUGCCUGGUAGCGGGGGAUAACUAUUGGAAACGAUAGCUAAUACCGCAUAAUAUUGAUUAUUGCAUGAUAAUUGAUUGAAAGAUGCUAUUGCAUCACUACCAGAUGGACCUGCGUUGUAUUAGCUAGUAGGUGAGGUAACGGCUCACCUAGGCGACGAUACAUAGCCGACCUGAGAGGGUGAUCGGCCACACUGGGACUGAGACACGGCCCAGACUCCUACGGGAGGCAGCAGUAGGGAAUCUUCGGCAAUGGACGAAAGUCUGACCGAGCAACGCCGCGUGAGUGAAGAAGGGUUUCGGAUCGUAAAUCUCUGUUGUAAGAGAAGAACGGGUGUGAGAGUGGAAAGUUCACACUGUGACGGUAUCUUAACAGAAAGGGACGGCUAACUACGUG